GAUGAACGCUGGCGGCGUGCCUAAUACAUGCAAGUCGAGCGAACGGACGCGAAGCUUGCUUCUCUGAUGUUAGCGGCGGACGGGUGAGUAACACGUGUAUAACCUCCCUAUAAGACUGGGAUAACUUCGGGAAACCGGAGCUAAUACCGGAUGAUAUUUUGAACCGCAUGGUUCAAAAGUGAAAGACGGUCUUGCUGUCACUUAUAGAUGGAUCCGCGCUGCAUUAGCUAGUUGGUAAGGUAACGGCUUACCAAGGCAACGAUGCGUAGCCGACCUGAGAGGGGGGUAGGCGACACGAGAGCGGGGACACGGACCAGGCGACUGAGGGAGGGAGCAGUAGGGAAUGGUACGCAAUAGGCGAGAGUCUGACGGAGCAACGCCGCGUGAGUGAUGAAGGUCUUCGGAGCGUAAAACUGUGUUAUUAGGGAAAAACAGAUGUGUAAGGAGAUGAGGAGAGCGUGACGGUACCGAAUAAGAAAGCAACGGCUAACUACGUG
rnacentral:rRNA from 1 species